rnacentral:lncRNA from 1 species
GGAGCUAGAGUGUGCCAAGACCACUUUGUCAAAGGUGGGUAAUAUUUGCCCCAGAUCCUGCAUGUAUGAUUUACCUGUGUCUGACACAUUCGGUAUUUACUUUACGUACAGGCGCUCCUAGCAAAGAUCCGCGGCAUGUUGACUACGUGCCAUCGAUAUUUUGGCAAGACGAGAGAGCAACUGAGGCGUCAAGACGGAAGCGUGAAAGCUACGACAGGCAUACGGCUUUAACGCUGAAACGCACGGCCGCCGCGAAACGUGCAGCCAGGGCUGGCACUGAUCCCGAGAAAAUCAUGACACAGCAGUCAACGGCCGCAGGACAUCAGGCCAAUGGUGCCGCUGCGGAAUACACGGACACAGCAGUUGUAACUUGUCAGUGACAUAAGCUGCUGCGACACGCAAUCAGCCAGUGGUUCUGAAGGCGAGGACAUCGCACCAGUGAGAGAAGAUGACGUGUCAGGAAAGUCUUUCGACGAAGCGUCAGCUGCACGCACUGAAAGGACAGCUGAAAUCCAAAGUACAGGAUGCCAUUUCUAUGCAGCUAUGAAGGCAAAAGUGC